GAUGAACGCUGGCGGCGUGCCUAAUACAUGCAAGUCGAGCGAACAGAUGAGGAGCUUGCUCCUCUGACGUUAGCGGCGGACGGGUGAGUAACACGUGGAUAACCUACCUAUAAGACUGGGAUAACUUCGGGAAACCGGAUCUAAUACCGGAUAAUAUAUUGAACCGCAUGGUUCAAUAGUGAAAGACGGUUUUGCUGUCACUUAUAGAUGGAUCCGCGCCGCAUUAGCUAGUUGGUAAGGUAACGGCUUACCAAGGCAACGAUGCGUAGCCGACCUGAGAGGGGGAUCGGCCACACGGGAACUGAGGCACGGUCCAGACUCCUACGGGAGGCAGCAGUAGGGAAUCUUCCGCAAUGGGCGAAAGCCUGACGGAGCAACGCCGCGUGAGUGAUGAAGGUCUUCGGAUCGUAAAACUCUGUUAUUAGGGAAGAACAAAUGUGUAAGUAACUAUGCACGUCUUGACGGUACCUAAUCAGAAAGCCACGGCUAACUACGUG
rnacentral:rRNA from 1 species